rnacentral:rRNA from 1 species
GACGAACGCUGGCGGCGUGCUUAACACAUGCAAGUCGUGCGGUAAGGCCCUUUCGGGGGUACACGAGCGGCGAACGGGUGAGUAACACGUGAGCAACCUGCCCUUCACUGUGGGAUAACUGGAGGAAACGGUGGCUAAUACCGGAUAUGACUUCAUCACGCAUGUGGGGUGGUGGAAAGCCUUCGGGUGGUGGGGGAGGGGCUCGCGGUCUAGCAGCUUGUUGGUGGGGUGAUGGCCUACCAAGGCUUCGACGGGUAGCCGGCCUGAGAGGGUGACCGGCCACACUGGGACUGAGAAACGCCCCAGACUCCUACGGGAGGCAGCAGUGUGGAAUAUUGGACAAUGGGCGAAAGCCUGAUCCAGCAACGCCGCGUGAGGGAUGACGGCCUUCGGGUUGUAAACCUCUUUCGCCUGCGACGAAGCGAGAGUGAGGGUAGCAGGUAAAUAGGCACCGGCCAGCUACGUG